CUAUUUAGGUGAAAAUAUUGGUGAACUCAAAGAACAGGCUAGGCAUUUCUACAUGAGGUCACAAUUUCAAGUCAUACAAGCAACCAGAUGAUGAAGUACAUCAUAUUUCUUAAGGUACGAUCCUUCCAUUUCCUAUAUUUUUUUAGUGUAAUUUGUUUUAUUAUUAAAUUGUCCUUUAAUUAAGGGAUAAUGCCCAAGUACCCCCUUAAUCUAUGCCCGAAAUCUCAGAGACACACUUAUACUAUACUAAGGUCCUAUUACCCCCCUGAACUUAUUUUAUUAAUAAUUUUUUACCCCUUUUUAGCUUACGUGGCACUAUCUUGUGGGUUCAACGAUGGUUGACUUUUUUUUUUGAACUAGUGCCACGUAGGCUAAAAGGGGUAGAAAAUUGCAUAUAAAAUAAGUUCAGGAGGGUAAUAGGACCUUGGUAUAGUAUAAGUGUGUCUCUGAGAUUUCGGGCAUAGGUUAAGGGGGUACUCGGGUAUUUUCCCUUUAAUUAAUAUAAAGAAUUACUUAUCUUUCUUGUAAUCUAUCACAGCACUGAUUAGCAUUUCAUUAAAAGUUAAAUCAAAAGUUUAAAAUUAAAUUAUUUUUUAAAUAUAUUAUCUAAAUAUGGAAAAUAUUUUUAAAAAAAAUAUCAGAUGUCACAAAUGACAUCACAUUGCUCUUAUAAUAUUUGGAAAUUAGAUUUUUACAUAAUCAAAUAUGUAGUGCCUGUUUUUUUUUAUUCUCAAAUAUCUUGAUGCUUAUACAAUUUGGAUCUCAUGUGAAUGAAAAAAGAUAUGCAUGGACCAAAUCUGAGAAAAUGACUAAAAUAAUAUUUAAUAAAAGGGGUUAGAUUAUUUUAGUUCUUUGGUAUGCUAUGUACCAAAAUGAUUUUUAAUGUAUAAAAAAUGAUUUUUGUAAUUUUUUAUGUAUCAAAUAAUUAUAGUUUUUAGUGUAAGAAAUAAGUAAUCAUUUUAAUAUAAAUAAAUAUGAAAUAGGAAAGUUAAUAUUACAUGCCUAAUUAAUUAUGUUUAAGCACACUUUAUGGUGAUCAAUUACUCAUGUUACCCUAAUCAAUUUAAAAUUCCUUUUACAUGAUUCUAGGAGCGAUAUUUUGUGAUUUACGAUAUUUUGUGAUUUGUAUAAACUUAAAGUAUUAAUAUAUUGAGGUACAAGUACUUGUAAAAACACAAUGUAUUAAUUUUGCUAUCUUUAAUAUGAUACGAAGAAAUAUCAAUUUUACAAAAAAACUAAAAUAACCAUUUUUUAUCGAUUAAAACCUAUCUCGAUUACUUGUUAAUAAAGGAUUAAAAUAUUCUGAUCCUAUAAGGAUCAUUCUGAUCAUUUUAUCGACCAUAUCCCAUAUAUUUAGCACGAAUGGAACUAAUAAUAAUAAGAAUGUUAAUAAUUGAGAUAGUGUUAUAUUAUUGUGUAUAUAAAAUAAAUCAUAAUAUAUUUGGCUUUUAUUAACUCCAACUAAUGUGAUGGUACAGGAAAAAUAUUUUAAAAGAGAAUAUUCCCUUUUAAAAUAUUGAUAUCAUGCUUUUGUAAUGUCUUAAAAUUAUCAUAUUUUAUUAGCUAUUUGUCUAUGUUUAAUGUGUGAAAACUAAUUAGGCCGGUGAUUUUUGAUAAGUCUUUCUGAAUUGAAAAAGCAAAAAAUGACUUUAUUCAUGCUGAGAAAAAAAAAACAUGUGUAGAAUGGAUCGUUCAUGGUCAAUUCCAGUAUUUUAAAUGGUAGGGACAUAAAGGGAACGUUUUACAUAGCAUAGGUUGAGAUGUAAACCUCGAGAUCUGGAGCGUAAGUACUAUGAAUUUUUAAGUUUUUAGUUUACAAUAUAGUGUAAU
rnacentral:lncRNA from 1 species